GGAUGUGAGGGUGAUCUUGCUGCGACAUCUGUCACCCCAUUGAUCGCCAGGGUUGAUUCGGCUGAUCUGGCUGGCUAGGCGGGUGUCCCCCUCCUCCCUCACCGAUCCAUGUGCGUCCCUCCCGUAGCUGCGCACUCAGUCGAAGAGGACUACCUUCCCCCCCCCCCCCAGGAGAGGACCGGUCUUCGGUCAAGGGUAUACGAGUAGCUGCGCUCCCCUGCUAGAACCUCCAAACAAGCUCUCAAGAUCAGGCCUAAACCGGUGGUCGGACACCCCUCUCACAAUCUGGGACCACUGGCUCCUA
rfam:Myotis lucifugus cont2.4405, whole genome shotgun sequence.